GGGGAUGUAUUACAGUGGUAGUAUGAGUCUUUUGCAUAGACUCGACCUGGGUUCGAUUCCCAGCAUCUCCA
rfam:Cryptococcus amylolentus CBS 6039 supercont1.10, whole genome shotgun sequence.